GAUGAACGCUGGCGGCGUGCCUAAUACAUGCAAGUCGAGCGAACAGACGAGGAGCUUGCUCCUCUGACGUUAGCGGCGGACGGGUGAGUAACACGUGGAUAACCUACCUAUAAGACUGGGAUAACUUCGGGAAACCGGAGCUAAUACCGGAUAAUAUAUUGAACCGCAUGGUUCAAUAGUGAAAGACGGUUUUGCUGUCACUUAUAGAUGGAUCCGCGCCGCAUUAGCUAGUUGGUAAGGUAACGGCUUACCAAGGCGACGAUGCGUAGCCGACCUGAGAGGGUGAUCGGCCACACUGGAACUGAGACACGGUCCAGACUCCUACGGGAGGCAGCAGUAGGGAAUCUUCCGCAAAGGGCGAAAGCCUGACGGAGCAACGCCGCGUGAGUGAUGAAGGUCUUCGGAUCGUAAAACUCUGUUAUUAGGGAAGAACAAAUGUGUAAGUAGCUAUGCACGUCUUGACGGUACCUAAUCAGAAAGCCACGGCUAACUACGUG
rnacentral:rRNA from 1 species